rnacentral:rRNA from 1 species
GAUGAACGCUAGCGAUAGGCCUAACACAUGCAAGUCGAGGGGCAGCAUAGAGUAGCAAUACUUUGAUGGCGACCGGCGCACGGGUGAGUAAAACGUAUGCAACCUACCUACAUCAGGGGAAUAACCCGGAGAAAUUCGAACUAAUACCGCAUAAUACACGGAUGCCGCAUGGCAAUAAUUGGUUAAGAUUUAUUGGAUGUUGAUGGGCAUGCGUUCCAUUAGCAGGUUGGUAAUGUAAAGGCAUACCAAGGCAACGAUGGAUAGGGGAACUGAGAGGUAUGUCCCCCACACUGGAACUGAGACACGGACCAGACUCCUACGGGAGGCAGCAGUGAGGAAUACUGGUCAAUGGACGAGAGUCUGAACCAGCCAAAUCGCGUGAAGGAAGACUGCCCUACGGGUUGUAAACUUCUUUUGUACAGGAAUAAAAGACAUUACGUGUAAUGUAUUGCAUGUACUGUACGAAUCAGCAUCGGCUAACUCCGUGCCAGCAGCCGCGGUAA